AGAUUGAACGCUGGCGGCAGGCCUAACACAUGCAAGUCGAGCGGUAGAGAGGUGCUUGCAUCUCUUGAGAGCGGCGGACGGGUGAGUAAUGCCUAGGAAUCUGCCUAGUGGUGGGGGAUAACGUUCGGAAACGGACGCUAAUACCGCAUACGUCCUACGGGAGAAAGGCGGGGGACCUUCGGGCCU
rnacentral:rRNA from 1 species